AUUGAACGCUGGCGGCAUGCCUUACACAUGCAAGUCGAACGGUAACAGGUCUUCGGAUGCUGAUGAGUGGCGAACGGGUGAGUAAUACAUCGGAACGUGCCCGAUCGUGGGGGAUAACGAAGCGAAAGCUUUGCUAAUACCGCAUACGAUCUACGGAUGAAAGCAGGGGACCGCAAGGCCUUGCGCGAACGGAGCGGCCGAUGGCAGAUUAGGUAGUUGGUGGGAUAAAAGCUUACCAAGCCGACGAUCUGUAGCUGGUCUGAGAGGACGACCAGCCACACUGGGACUGAGACACGGCCCAGACUCCUACGGGAGGCAGCAGUGGGGAAUUUUGGACAAUGGGCGAAAGCCUGAUCCAGCCAUGCCGCGUGCAGGAUGAAGGCCUUCGGGUUGUAAACUGCUUUUGUACGGAACGAAAAGACUCUGGUUAAUACCUGGGGUCCAUGACGGUACCGUAAGAAUAAGCACCGGCUAACUACGUG
rnacentral:rRNA from 1 species